rnacentral:snoRNA from 1 species
ACCCUACAAUUUCCUUUACCAGUGGAUCUACACGCUGGUCUUGGUGGUUGUAAAGGAGGAAAAGGAAGGCUGCAGCUGGGCCCCAGCCUUGCGGUCUGACAUGUAGGCUAGUUUCAAACAGGG